CAAGUUUGGCCUGGACCUGUCUACUUCCCUGAUUUUUUAAAACCAGACACCACAACUUUCUGGAGGGAUGAGAUCAAACAGUUUCGAGAUAUCCUUCCUUUUGAUGGACUUUGGAUCGACAUGAAUGAGAUAUCCAAUUUCAUAACUUCCCCUUCAACACCAUUCUCCACCCUUGAUAAUCCCCCUUACAAGAUUAACAAUGCAGGAAUCCAACGACCAAUCAAUAAUAAGACAACAC
rnacentral:misc_RNA from 1 species